UGGGGAAUAUUAGGCAAUGGGCGAAAGCCUGACCCAGCGACGCCGCGUGGGUGAUGAAGGCCUUCGGGUCGUAAAACCCUGUCAUGUGGGAAGAAUUGUCUCGUGGUUAAUACCUGCGAGAAUUGACGGUACCACAGGAGGAAGCACCGGCUAACUCCGUGCCAGCAGCCGCGGUAAUACGUAGGGUGCAAGCGUUGUUCGGAAUUACUGGGCGUAAAGGGGGAGUAGGCGGAAAGAAAAGUCAGAUGUGAAAGCCCUGUGCUUAACGCAGGAAGAGCAUUUGAAACUAUCUAACUAGAGUGUAUUAUGGGAGCGUGGAAUUCCUAGUGUAGCGGUGAAAUGCGUAGAUAUUAGGAGGAAGACUCGUGGCGAAGGCGGCGCUCUGGGGUAACACUGACGCUGAGGACCGAAAGCAUGGGGAGCAAACA
rnacentral:rRNA from 1 species